CUUUUAUUCUAAGAGGGGAGAGACUAGAUUGCCUUUUUUUUUUAAAAGCCUUGUGGAUAGGUUACUUUGGGAGGGCUUGCGCCAUAUUAGUUAGUUGGUAGGGUAAUGGCUUACCAAGACGAUGAUGUGUAGCUGGACUGAGAGGUUGAACAGCCACAUUGGGACUGAGACACGGCCCAAACUCCUACGGGAGGCAGCAGUAGGGAAUUUUCGGCAAUGGAGGAAACUCUGACCGAGCAACGCCGCGUGAACGACGAAGUACUUUGGUAUGUAAAGUUCUUUUAUCAAGGAAGAAAAGCAAGUGGUGAACCAUUUGUUUGCCGGUACUUGAUGAAUAAGCCCCGGCUAAUUAUGUGCCAGCAGCCGCGGUAAGACAUAAGGGGCAAGUGUUAUCCGGAAUUAUUGGGCGUAAAGGGUGCGUAGGCGGUCUAGUAAGUCAGUGGUGUAAUGGCAACGCUCAACGUUGUCCGGCUAUUGAAACUGCUAAACUUGAGUUAGAUAGAGGCGAGUGGAAUUCCAUGUGUAGCGGUAAAAUGCGUAAAUAUAUGGAGGAACACCAGAGGCGUAGGCGGCUCGCUGGGUCUUAACUGACGCUGAGGCACGAAAGCGUGGGGAGCAAACAGGAUUAGAUACCCUGGUAGUCCACGCCGUAAACGAUGAGUACUAAGUGUCGGGUUAAACCGGUACUGAAGUUAACACAUUAAGUACUCCGCCUGAGUAGUACGUACGCAAGUAUGAAACUUAAAGGAAUUGACGGGACUCCGCACAAGCGGUGGAUCAUGUUGUUUAAUUCGAAGAUACCCGAAAAACCUUACCAGGUCUUGACAUGUUUUUGCGAAACGGUAGUAAUAUCGUGGAGGUUAUCAGAAACACAGGUGGUGCAUGGUUGUCGUCAGCUCGUGUCGUGAGAUGUUAGGUUAAGUCCUAAAACGAGCGAAACCCUUAUCGUUAGUUGCCAGCACGUUAUGGUGGGGACUUUAACGAGACUGCCAGUGAUAAAUUGGAGGAAGGUGAGGAUCACGUCAAAUCAGCAUGCCCCUUAUGACCUGGGCUACAAACGUGAUACAAUGGCUGUUACAAAGGGUAGCUGAAACGCAAGUUCUUGGCCAAUCCCCAAAAACAGUCUCAGUCCGGAUUGAAGUCUGCAACUCGACUUCAUGAAGUUGGAAUCGCUAGUAAUCGCGAAUCAGCAGUCGCGUGAACUGCGUGCUU
rnacentral:sRNA from 1 species